CGGAGGGGAAACACCCGGUCCCAUUCCGAACCCGGAAGUUAAGCCCUCCAGCGCCGAUGGUACUGCAUGGGAGACUGUGUGGGAGAGUAGGACACCGCCGGAC
rnacentral:rRNA from 1 species